rnacentral:rRNA from 1 species
GUGGCUCAGUUCAGAUCGUAGGCUGCAACUCGCCUACGUGAAGGAGGAAUCGCUAGUAAUCGCAGGUCAGCAUACUGCGGUGAAUACGUUCCCGGGCCUUGUACACACCGCCCGUCACACCAUGGAAGUUGGCCACGCCCGAAGCCGUUACUCCAACCCUUGUGGAGGAGGACGUCGAAGGUGGGGCUGAUGACUGGGGUGAAGUCGUAACAAGGUAGCCGUACCGGAAGGUGCGGCUGGAUCACCUCCUAA